AAAUCUAGUUGAUCCUGCUAGAGGCUGCUGCUCUUCCGCUACGGAUAAGCCAUGCAAGUUUCUCGCGAGAGAGCAAACUGCUCAGUAACACGUAGCUAACCUGACCUUAAGCGGAGGAUAACCUCGGGAAACUGAGGGUAAUACUUCAUAGAUUUAGAAUACUGGAAUGUUUCUAAAUUGAAACGCAAGGCUUAAGGAUGGGGCUGCGGCUG
rnacentral:rRNA from 1 species